CCUACGGGUGGCAGCAGUAGGGAAUCUUUCACAAUGGGCGAAAGCCUGAUGGAGCAACGCCGCGUGCAGGAUGAAGGCCUUCGGGUUGUAAACUGCUUUUAUAAGCGAGAAAGAUGAUGGUAACUUAUGAAUAAGGAUCGGCUAACUACGUGCCAGCAGCCGCGGUCAUACGUAGGAUCCGAGCAUAAUCCGGAGUGACUGGGUGUAAAGAGUUGCGUAGGUGGCAUAAUAAGUAGCUAGUGAAAUCUGGUGGCUCAACCAUUCAGACUAUUAGCUAAACUGUUAAGCUCGAGACCGUUAGUGGUAACUGGAAUUUCUAGUGUAGGAGUGAAAUCCGUAGAUAUUAGAAGGAACACCAAUAGCGUAGGCAGGUUGCUGGGACGGUUCUGACACUAAGGCACGAAAGCGUAGGGAGCAAACGGGAUUAGAUACCCGUGUAGUC
rnacentral:rRNA from 1 species